rnacentral:rRNA from 1 species
GAUGAACGCUGGCGGCGUGCCUAAUACAUGCAAGUCGAGCGAACAGAUGAGGAGCUUGCUCCUCUGACGUUAGCGGCGGACGGGUGAGUAACACGUGGAUAACCUACCUAUAAGACUGGGAUAACUUCGGGAAACCGGAGCUAAUACCGGAUAAUAUAUUGAACCGCAUGGUUCAAUAGUGAAAGACGGUUUUGCUGUCACUUAUAGAUGGAUCCGCGCCGCAUUAGCUAGUUGGUAAGGUAACGGCUUACCAAGGCAACGAUGCGUAGCCGACCUGAGAGGGUGAUCGGCCACACUGGAACUGAGACACGGUCCAGACUCCUCCGGGAGGCAGCAGUAGGGAAUCUUCCGCAAUGGGCGAAAGCCUGACGGAGCAACGCCGCGUGAGUGAUGAAGGUCUUCGGAUCGUAAAACUCUGUUAUUAGGGAAGAACAAAUGUGUAAGUAACUAUGCACGUCUUGACGGUACCUAAUCAGAAAGCCACGGCUAACUACGUG